ensembl:lncRNA
CUUCCUUCCAGCUUUGCCCAGAACAGGUCUUAAACAGGUAUAGAUUAAUUUACAUAAUCACCUUGGUGAAGCUUCCAUACUUUCCCAGUAGAGAAACAAAAGUAUAGCAUGCACCUAUCUGUAACACUGAAAGAUAUGAGAGCACAGUCAGUUUGGGAAUAUUCUCAGCUAGGCCUCAUUAAUAAAAUAAGGCUAAUGAUUUAUUCAUGUCCAGGACAAUAAGAGGACAAUGUGGAGCAGUUACAUUAACGAGCAAAGUUUGCUUCUACAGCCUGAAGAUCUGCAUUUGGUGCUAAAAACAGAGAGGGACAAGUCACAGUUAAAUUCUGCUGGCUUGACAGCAUUAGAAGAAAUCUCUGAUGAUGUCUUCAGCCACUCCAGCCACACCUACAAGUGUAUCUGUCUGCUCUUCUUCCCUCAUCAGUGCACUUACCCAGACUGUGGGGAACCAAGACGCAGGUUCUCAUC